CGCUGUCACUCCUACGGGGAGGCAGCAGUAGGGAAUCUUCCACAAUGGGCGCAAGCCUGAUGGAGCAACACCGCGUGAGUGAAGAAGGGUUUCGGCUCGUAAAGCUCUGUUGUUAAAGAGAACACGUAUGAGAGUAACUGUUCAUACGUUGACGGUAUUUAACCAGAAAGUCACGGCUAACUACGUGCCAGCAGCCGCGGUAAUACGUAGGUGGCAAGCGUUAUCCGGAUUUAUUGGGCGUAAAGAGAGUGCAGGCGGUUUUCUAAGUCUGAUGUGAAAGCCUUCGGCUUAACCGGAGAAGUGCAUCGGAAACUGGAUAACUUGAGUGCAGAAGAGGGUAGUGGAACUCCAUGUGUAGCGGUGGAAUGCGUAGAUAUAUGGAAGAACACCAGUGGCGAAGGCGGCUACCUGGUCUGCAACUGACGCUGAGACUCGAAAGCAUGGGUAGCGAACAGGAUUAGAUACCCUGGUAG
rnacentral:rRNA from 1 species